GCUUCUUAUGUUUCAUGUCUGAAGGCUGGGAGAGGUGACAUGGACAAAGUGUCUUAAGGUGGGGAGAGCAGUGCCACCUGGGGGCGGUGAGAGCUUGGGACCUGGCCAGGGACCCCUUCCUGCCUCUCAUGAUCUCAGAACCCUCUGGUCGACAGAUCCCCUGGGAGCCAGUGUUUCCUUGUCCUUGACGUUCUCUGGUGGUCCCUGCCCUGGAAUAGUUAGUAUGGAACCAGGAGGCCAUCACCCAACAGGGUAACCUCGUGCAGGACAAGUCCCUCAGUUGAGAGAUUUAAAAUUCACAGACAUUGGAGUCGAGAGAGAAUUAUGACGCCUGAGAAGGAGCUAACGCUAAUAUUUACCUUUAGCAAUUGACAGCUUAUUUAAAAACAGUGAAGGAUGUUGGCACAGGGAAGGGAGGAUGGAGUCUAGCGCCUGCCUACCCCAUAGUAAAUUCCGGGAGGCGAACACAUGCUGUGAAUUUAUGGCUGUGCAUUGGAAUCCUGGUUUCACGCGUUCUGGAAAGCCCGCUGGGUUGUUCUACGUUAAGGCAAGCCGUAAGGUGCCAGUCCUGAGUACUAGUGGGGAGACUUGUCCGGGCGAUAGCUGCCUAAAGGGGAGCUGCCUUGGGCCUCCGUGGCAUUGAUUUGGGGGCAGCUCUGUGGUUGCAUUUAAAGUUCCUCAAGGCUCUUUUUCCCUUCUGUUGCCAAAACAUCUAUUGCGGUUUUUUUUCUCUUUUAAAAGUCAUGGAGGGGAGUUCCCUGGUGGUCUAGUGGUUAGGAUUCGGCACUUUCACUGCUGCGGCCUGGGUUUAAUCCCUGGUCUGGGAACUGAGAUCCCACAUCAAGCCACUGUGUGCUGCAGCCAGAAAAAAUUAAAAUAAGUAAAUAGGAUUUCUUGUGGCGCAUACUGGUUAAGGAUCUACCAUCAUCACCACCGUGGUUUGAGUCACCUCUGUGGCACAGGUUCAGUCUCUGGCCCGGGAACUUCCACAUGCUGGGGGCGUGGCCAAAUGAAUAAAUAAAUAAAUAAUAAAAGUAAUGCAGGAUCAUUGUAGAAAAUUGGCAAAUACAGAAAAAUAUAUAGAGGGAAGAAUCACCUCUAGGCCUCCCACCAGAGGUAACCCAUGUUCCUGUGUCACAAGGCAGCCUUAUGUUUUUCUUUGUAGGCACGUCUCCUUGUGAGACUACAUCCUUCUAAAAUAUGAUCUCUAGUUAGCUACAUGGUAUUCCGCUAUAUACACGAACGAUUUAUAAUUUAACAAUUUAUAAUUUAUGAAAAACAAUUUCUAAUUUAACAUUUAAGGAGUUUCCGUUACGGCUCAGAGCCCUGCAAGUAUCCAUGAAACCUCGCUCAGUGGGUUAAGGAUCCCGCGUUGUCGUGAGCUGUGGUGUAGGUCGUAGGUGCGGCUUUAAUCCUGCAUCGUGCUGGCUGUAGUGUAGGCCAGCAGCUACAGCUCUGAUUCCAUCCCUAGCCUGGGAACUUCCAUGUGCCGUGGGUGUAGGCCUAAAAAGAAACAAAAAAACCCUCCAAAAACCAAAAGCUAACAAUCUCCAGUUAUGAGAAACAUAGGCGAGGUCCAAAUUUUGCUGUAAUCAUCAAUGCUAUUAUAAACUCGCUUUUGUAUAUACAUCUCCGUGCAUGUCUUUGGUCAUUUUCAGAGGAUACAUUCCUAAGAAGGAUUAUAAAGAUUCUGUUACAUCUUUAGUUAUUAUUUCCCUUUUAUUUGUUGUAGCCUCAAUUUCAUCAUCUUUUUCAUUGAUUUAAUUUCUUUUCCUGUGUUCUUUCCCUGUAGUCUUUUUCUUCUUCUCAAUUCUAUAGUAUUGGUUUUGAUGGGGUUUUUUUUAAUUGUCUUUAAAAUGGAAAUUUAAAAAAAUGCAAUUGUGUUUUUGGUUUCCUGGUAUUUUCUAAUUUUAUUCUGCUUUUUUUAAAAAAGUUUGAGUCUGAAACAAGCAUACGUUUGCCACAUUUUUCUUCUGUUUCCAGAGGUCUACGCUUUGUAUCUUCAAUGCAACAUUUUACAUAUGGCUGUUGUGUUGCAGAGUAUUUCUGGAAGCUUCACAGUCUGAAUUGUUGGUUUGUCCUAGAGUGAAGACAGUUUGGUCAGGUCCUGGAUUUGCCUGCAGACAGGGCAUGCCACUUCUGCUUGGCUCCCCUCUGGCUGCCUUGUUGCUGAUAGAACCUCUUUUUGGGUCUGAGGUUGUUAGUAAAAAUUUAUGCCUCCGUUUCAGCCCUUUCAUUUCCCUGUGGGCUUGGGGACGUGGGACCCAUGGGUGGAGCCAGCAGGGAAGCUCUCCUUGCUGUUUCUUCUGCGUUUGUUAGAGUUGCUGAGAUGGGGUCAGCUUCACGCUCGGGGCAUUUUUCUUUUCCAUUCUUGCUGGCCGUAGGCUGCUGUGAUUGUGACCAGCGCCCCCCCGUUUGUCACAUUCAGGCAAGCUCUUGCCGCCCUGAUGGAGGUUAUCACACCUCUGGCCUUGGAGCCCAUCCCUUGCUUUUCAGAUACCGCUUCCUAGAGCUUUGAAACAGUCCAAGUGAGAUGCUUAUCCCAGCAGUUCCCGUUCUGGCUCAGCGGUAACGAACCUGACCAGUGUCCAUCAGGAUGUGGGUUCGAUCCCUGGCUUUGCUCAGUGGGUUAAGGAUCUGGUGUUGCCAUGAGCUGUGGUGUAGGUUGCAGAUGUGACUUGGAUCUGGCGUUGCUAUGGCUGUGGUGUAGGCAGGCCUGCAGCUGCAGCUCCGAUUUGACCCCUGCCUAGCUUGGGAACUUCCAUAUGCCACAUCUUCAGCCCUUAAAAACAUAAAGAAAAAAGAAAUGUUUUUUUUUUCCAGCUCCCAGGCUACUCAGUGCUGGCCCCUCUCUGUCAAGGGUCAUUAGUUGGGUUUCACCAGGGUCUCUUUCAGUUAAUUUCUGUAUCCUGCUGCUGAUGUUUCGAAGGGCAGUUCACAUAUGGCCUAGGUAGCCUUUUCACAUCUGGUCCCAGCUAUACUGUUUCUAUCUACCAGCAAUUCCCUUUCCAUCCUUCCUAUCCUUACGCCAAGCGUAAAUCUUCCAGGGUGUUAUUUAGGGGAGAGAGACGAACCCCUAAGCUGGCGUGGAUCCCUCUGUGUGUGUGUGUGUGUGUGUGUGUGUGUGUGUGUGUCCCGCUGGGUGCAGCAUUUCCCUUCCCUCGCUGGCCUGGCACUGAGUGCUGCCCUGGGCUCUCCGACUUCAAAGCUGUUCUCCCAGAGGUAGCUGUCCUUAAACUCAAAUGCAAACGAAAGGCAUUUCUGAGCUCUUUAAAAAAAUAAAUAAAUAAAUAAAAUAAAAAAAA
rnacentral:tRNA from 1 species